rnacentral:tRNA from 1 species
GCGGGUGUGGCGGAAUUGGUAGACGCGCGGGUCUCAAACACCCGUUCCGAAAGGAGUGCCGGUUCGACUCCGGCCACCCGCACCA